rnacentral:rRNA from 1 species
GACGUAGGGGACGAGCGUUGUCCGGAUUCAUUGGGCGUAAAGCGCACGUAGGCGGCCCGGUAAGUCGGAUGUGAAAUCCCUCGGCGCAACCGAGGAAGUGCAUUCGAAACUGCCAGGCUUGAAUAUGGAAGAGGGUCGCGGAAUUCCCGGUGUAGAGGUGAAAUUCGUAGAUAUCGGGAGGAACACCAGUGGCGAAGGCGGCGACCUGGGCCAAUAUUGACGCUGAGGUGCGAAAGCGUGGGGAGCAAACAGG